rnacentral:rRNA from 1 species
AUUGAACGCUAGCGGGAUGCCUUACACAUGCAAGUCGAACGGAGUGGCGAACGGGUGAGUAAUGUAUCGGAACGUGCCCAGUAGCGGGGGAUAACUACGCGAAAGCGUAGCUAAUACCGCAUACUAUUGGAGCGGCCGAUAGCGGAUUAGCUAGUUGGUGGGGUAACGGCUCACCAAGGCGACGAUCCGUAGAGGGUUUGAGAGGACGACCAGACACAUUGGACGUGAGACACUGCCCAGACUCCUACGGGAGGCAGAAGGGGGGAAUUUUGUACAAUGGGGGAAACCAUGAGCCAGCCAUCCCGCGUGUGCGAUGAAGGCCUUCGGGUUGUAAAGCACUUUUGGCAGGAAAGCGGGACCUGCAGAAUAAGCACCGGCUAACUACGUGCCAGCAGCCGCGGUAAUAC